rnacentral:misc_RNA from 1 species
UUUCCGUAGGUGAACCUGCGGAAGGAUCAUUAAAGAGUAGGGGUCUCCGGGCCCGAUCUCCAACCCUUUGUUUAACUACCAUGUUGCUUUGGCGGGCCCGUCUCACGACCGCCGGAAGUUUGGCUUCGACCAAACUUCUGGCCCGUGCCCGUCAGUGGCCCCUUCAAAUUCUUGAUCAAGUAUGAUGUCUUGGUUAAAAACUUAAUAGUUAAAACUUUCAACAACGGAUCUCUUGGUUCUG